rnacentral:misc_RNA from 1 species
AAAGUAAUAAGUGCUCCCGGCGCGUAUUAUGUAACCCAUCUGUGUAUCUUACCUGUUGCUUCCGUGGGUCGUUGGCUUCGGCCACUCCUCAAAUGCGGGGAACCCACGGGAGGUCUACAUCAAACCUUUGCUCUCAAUGAUAUCUGUCUGAAUUGUCUCAAUGAGAAAAGUUA